rnacentral:rRNA from 1 species
UGGGGAAUAUUGGACAAUGGGGGCAACCCUGAUCCAGCCAUGCCGCGUGUGUGAAGAAGGCCUUUUGGUUGUAAAGCACUUUAAGCAGUGAAGAAGACUCCAUGGUUAAUACCCAUGGACGAUGACAUUAGCUGCAGACUAAGCACCGGCUAACUCUGUGCCAGCAGCCGCGGUAAUACAGAGGGUGCAAGCGUUAAUAGGAAUUACUGGGCGUAAAGCGAGCGUAGGUGGCUUGAUAAGUCAGAUGUGAAAGCCCCGGGCUUAACCUGGGAACGGCAUCUGAUACUGUUAGGCUAGAGUAGGUGAGAGGAAGGUAGAAUUCCAGGUGUAGCGGUGAAAUGCGUAGAGAUCUGGAGGAAUACCGAUGGCGAAGGCAGCCUUCUGGCAUCAUACUGACACUGAGGUUCGAAAGCGUGGGUAGCAAACA